rnacentral:rRNA from 1 species
UACAGAGGUGGCAAGCGUUGUUCGGAAUUACUGGGGCGUAAAGCGCACGUAGGCGGCUUUGCAAGUCGGAUGUGAAAUCCCUCGGCUCAACCAAGGAAGUGCAUCCGAAACUGCAGAGCUUGAGUACCAAAGAGGAUCGCGGAAUUCCCGGUGUAGAGGUGAAAAUUCGUAGAUAUCGGGAGGGAACACCCAGUGGCGAAGG